GACGAACGCUGGCGGCGUGCUUAACACAUGCAAGUCGAACGGAAAGGCCCUGCUUUUGUGGGGUGCUCGAGUGGCGAACGGGUGAGUAACACGUGAGUAACCUGCCCUUGACUUUGGGAUAACUUCAGGAAACUGGGGCUAAUACCGGAUAGGAGCUCCUGCUGCAUGGUGGGGGUUGGAAAGUUUCGGCGGUUGGGGAUGGACUCGCGGCCUAUCAGCUUGUUGGUGGGGUAGUGGCUUACCAAGGCUUUGACGGGUAGCCGGCCUGAGAGGGUGACCGGCCACAUUGGGACUGAGAUACGGCCCAGACUCCUACGGGAGGCAGCAGUGAGGAAUAUAGCACAAUGGGCGGAAGCCUGAUGCAGCAACGCCGCGUGCGGGAUGACGGCCUUCGGGUUGUAAACCGCUUUCGCCUGUGACGAAGCGUGAGUGACGGUAAUGGGUAAAGAAGCACCGGCUAACUAUGUG
rnacentral:rRNA from 1 species